CACAGAUACCUGCAGCUGCUGUUGCUACUACUGCAUGGCCUGCACUGCUUCAGUGAGGUCCCUGACCUGCUGAACUAGUAGGUCAAACUGCUUAAUGCCAACUACCGUUGUCGGAGGAGGAGGAGCCUGAAAAACUGGAGACGAGGUCAGAGCUUGCAGAUCUCGCUGAGAUCUGCCCACGGAGGCCGUGGAUCACCUGGUGGAUGCCUUUCGGGGAGGCAUUAGGUAAGGAUCUGGCAGGAGAAGAAGAAAAAAAUAUCGAAGAAGAUGAUCGAAGACAGUC
rnacentral:lncRNA from 1 species